CUUCUUACAUGUGCGGCACAGAUUUUUGCUAGCAUGAGCGGCGGGUUCGGCGGCCGCGGUCGGCGCUGCCGUGCUGUCUAGUGAGCUCCUGUGACCGGCGCCAUGAGAGCAGCUGCGCCGGUGGCUCUCGUGCAUGGCGCGUGCAUCGGUGACCUUCUAAAGUCCUCCUUCGCGAACUGCAUCGCAUCGCCGGCCGGAGCGCCGGCCAUCUGGCCGUUCCCCUUUGCGGUGUGGUACGCCGUCUCCGCCGCAGCUGCAAUCUCCUCCGGCGCCAGCGUUGUUGAGCAGCGUUUCUCAUCCAGCAGCAGCGCUGGCGGCUCCUAUCCAUCUACCAAAGAAAGGAGCAUUAUCUUAUCCAGCGCCAGCGUUUGUACGAACAGAAUGGAAGGCCAUUCUGAAUCACUUGGUGACAUAAUAAUUCGUGGGAUGUAAACUUUGUCGCCAAUGAUUCGCCUGGAGUCACCUCCCAAGACUACCAUCAUUCCUCCAAACAGUCUAUGCUCGGCAUCCUCAUUUGUGAAUCGAAAAUUGAACUAUCUGGUAGUGGCAUUCCUGGAAAAUCUUUGAGGGACUUGCCACCUUUGGUCAACAGGUCUUCCAUCCCUGCCAAGAGGAUCCUCUUUAUUUGCGCUGACUUGAGUUCUAGGGCCUGAAAAUUGAGUAUUCUUCUUUGCCAACGUUGGAUGUCCUCAGAUAGUAGUUCCCAGUUUGUUUGCCACAACUUUGCAGGAUCCGUUACCUUGCAAAAUCAAAGUAUCGUGUAGAAAAGUUGGCGCAUUUGAGGAGCAGAGGCCCAAUGGGAUGCUUCCUUGAUGCAGUCAUCCCACUCCUUGUCGUCAUUAAGUAGACCAAGAGCAUAACAUGCAGAUUUGUAUGUUGGAUGUACAACCCCAUCAACAGUGAAAUUGUAACCUUUCAACCGCAGGCUCUCUAUACUGAAGAGGAAACUGAAGUAUGUGCCAUGAGGCUUCACAUUCGGAUAUGUACCAAGCAUCAAGAUAUCAUCCCAAGCACACUAUACGGAGUACGGACAGGACACACGAUGUGAUUGGCUCUCUGGCGCCGGCGCUGCUCUGGCGCAGCGCGUGAACUCAAACCGAGUUUGGGGUGUGAAUCUUGCAUGCUGCCAAUCCAUUGUAGUUCCUGGAAUCUGCCCUAACCCAGGUCCGUUGCUGGCUGCCUGCCUGAAUACGUGCCUCCCAGCCUACAGUCAACGAUGUCAUGUUGGGCGCUGAUGAAUCUUGAUGUCAAGGACAGCUAAAAGAUGGCACCCGUAGAUGGAAAGAAAGAUGAACACCAGCGCUAGGGCUUCAGCUCAACAAAGCGCCAAUAGGAAAGAAGAGUAAUAUAACAGAAGAAUAAAGGCUACAUGUUACUUUCGUGCGGAUUGGGGCCAGCAGCAACUGCUGACGAAUGUGCACUCUGAAACCUUGCCAACGACGGCAAUCGCCGAGGCUGCUUCAAACUGCUAUCUGCCUAUCCGUGCACCACCUCUGCUGCAUCAAAAACCACGAGAUUGAUUUAUUGAUAGGGCUGAAAACGAUUUCAAGAUUGUAAUAUACUGUAGUUAUAACCUGAAAUCAGUUAUAGGACAGAGAGGAUCGGGGAGAGAAAAAUGUUACAUCGAUUCGAGGAUGAGAAGUGUUUUGGCUCUCGCCGAUCUGUCGAUGAGGGAGAGAAGAAGCAAGGGGUUACGUCGAUGCCGUUGUAGAGGAGAAGCGACCGAUCCUGCCUGCACGGGUCGGUUGUUCUUUUAUUUUUGGAGAUGUUUUUUCUACAAUGGAGAUGGAUUUGUUUUGGUAUAAUUUUAAUUGGCCUACGUGAGCCUA